AACGUAGGAGGCGAGCGUUAUCCGGAUUUACUGGGCGUAAAGGGCGUGCAGGUGGCUGUGUAAGUGGUGCGUGAAAGCGCCCGGCUCAACCGGGCGAGGCCGUGCCAAACUGCACAACUAGAAACAGGCAGAGGAAAGUGGAAUUCGGGGUGUAGUGGUGAAAUGCGUAGAGAUCCCGAGGAACUCCUGUGGCGAAGGCGACUUUCUGGGCCUGCUUUGACACUCAGACGCGAAAGCAUGGGGAGCGAACGGG
rnacentral:rRNA from 1 species